UACAGAGGGUGCAAGCGUUGUUCGGAAUUAUUGGGCGUAAAGCGCUUGUAGGCGGCCUGUUAAGUCUCGUGUGAAAUCCCCUGGCUUAACCAGGGAAGUGCGCGUGAAACUGGCGGGCUUGAGUGCCGGAGAGGGUCGCGGAAUUCCCGGUGUAGAGGUGAAAUUCGUAGAUAUCGGGAGGAACCCCAGUGCCCAAGGCGGCGACCUGGACGGACACUGACGCUGAGACGCGAAAGCGUGGGGAGCAAACAGG
rnacentral:rRNA from 1 species